UAUCUAUAUUUUAUAUAUAUAAAAUAUAUAUAUUCUUUUUUUAAAUUAACAGUGCUAAUGUUAUUGGUGUCUUCACUGGAUGUAUUUGACUGCUGUGGACUUGAGUUGGGAGGGGAACGUUCCCACUCAGAUCCUGACAGGGAAGAGGAUGAGACGAGAGACUCCGGCAUGAUCUUUUUCUUUGUCCCACUUGGCCGGGCCAGGGUCCUCUCCCUUGCCCAGGAAUGUGCAAGGCCAGGGCAUGGGGGCACAUAUGACCCACGUUCAGGAACACCGACAAACCCAGCCCUGGUGCUGAGCCUCUGCCCUGGGUCAGACGGACAGAAAGGCAGAUGACAGGGGCAUUGCCUGGAAGAUUCAGGAGCCUGGGCGGCGUUCACUUACUCUCACCUGCUCCCAGGAGGCCACUGACAGAUGUCCCAGCGAAGAGAGAAGAGACACGUGUUGGAAGCAGCAGCCCAUGACAGCUCCUCCUCCUGGGACCCACCCUCAUCCUCUUCCUGCUCCCCUUCCUGGGGUGCAGCCUAAAAGGACCUGAUGUCCUCACACCAUUGAAACCACUAGUUCUGUCCCCCCAGGAGGCCUGGUUGUGUAUGUGUGAGUGGUUGACCCUCCUCCAUCCCCUGGUCCUUCCCUUCCCGAGGCACAGAGAGGCAGGGCAGGAUCCACGUGCCCAUUGUGGAGGCAGAGAAAAAAAGUGUUUUGUAUACGGUACUUAUUUAAUAUCCCUUUUUAAUUAGAAAUUAAAACAGUUAAUUUAAUUAAAGAGUAGGGUUUUUUUCAGUAUUCCUGGUUAAUAUUUAAUUUCAACUAUUUAUGAGAUGUAUCUUUUGCUCUCUCUCGCUCUCUUAUUUGUACUGGUUUUUGUAUAUAAAAUUCAUGUUUCCAGUCUCUCUCUCCCUGAUCGGUGACAGUCACUAGCUUAUCUUGAACACAUAUUUAAUUUUGCUAACACUCAGCUCUGCCCUCCCCUUUCCCCUGGCUCCCCAGCACACAUUCCUUUGAAAUAAGGUUUCAAUAUACAUCUACAUACUAUAUAUAUAUUUGGCAACUUGUAUUUGUGUGUAUAUAUAUAUAUAUGUUUAUGUAUAUAUGUGAUUCUGAUAAAAUAGACAUUGCUAUUCUGUUUUUUAUAUGUAAAAACAAAACAAGAAAAAAUAGAGAAUUCUACAUACUAAAUCUCUCUCCUUUUUUAAUUUUAAUAUUUGUUAUCAUUUAUUUAUUGGUGCUACUGUUUAUCCGUAAUUGUGGGGAAAAGAUAUUAACAUCACGUCUUUGUCUCUAGUGCAGUUUUUCGAGAUAUUCCGUAGUACAUAUUUAUUUUUAAACAACGACAAAGAAAUACAGAUAUAUCUUAAAAAAAAAGCAUUUUGUAUUAAAGAAUUUAAUUCUGAUCUCAAA